UACGGGGGGGGCAAGCGUUGCUCGGAAUCACUGGGCGUAAAGGGCGCGUAGGCGGCCAUUCAAGUCGGGGGUGAAAGCCUGUGGCUCAACCACAGAAUUGCCUUCGAUACUGUUUGGCUUGAGACCGGAAGAGGUAAGUGGAACUGCGAGUGUAGAGGUGAAAUUCGUAGAUAUUCGCAAGAACACCAGUGGCGAAGGCGGCUUACUGGUCCGGUUCUGACGCUGAGGCGCGAAAGCGUGGGGAGCAAACAGG
rnacentral:rRNA from 1 species